AUAAUGAUACUUCAACAUUUAUUGUGUUGCUACCUAAAAGAGGGUGGAGGUGGAAUUCCUAUGU
rnacentral:ncRNA from 1 species